GAUGAACGCUGGCGGCGUGCCUAACACAUGCAAGUCGAACGGAGUCCAGCCUUUAAGACCUUCGGGUCAAAGAGGGGAAGACUGAGUGGCGGACGGGUGAGUAACACGUGGGCAACCUGGCUCAUAGAGGGGGAUAACAGAGAGAAAUUUCUGCUAAUACCGCAUAAGCACACACUGCCGCAUGGCAGAGGGUGAAAAGAGAAUCGCUAUGAGAUGGACCCGCGUCUGAUUAGCCAGGUGGCAGGGUAAGAGCCUACCAAAGCGACGAUCAGUAGCCGAUCUGAGAGGAUGAACGGCCACAUUGGGACUGAGACACGGCCCAAACUCCUGCGGGAGGCAGCAGUGGGGGAUAUUGCACAAUGGGGGGAACCCUGAUGCAGCGACGCCGCGUGAGUGAAGAAGUAUUUCGGUAUGUAAAGCUCUAUCAGCAGGGAAGAUAAUGACAGUACCUGAAGAAGAAGCCCCGGCUAACUACGUG
rnacentral:rRNA from 1 species